UGUCUGAUUUCUCAGUAAUUUCAUAGUACAUAUGUGAAUACAUGUAUGCGGUCAUAAAAAAGACUUUUGUAACUCUUGGCAAAGAGCCUUUUUUCUUAUAUAACUUGGGAGAUGCCUGUGGAAGAGCUGGAAAUGUAUCAUGUAUUCAUUGUCCAUUGAAGAGAGGAGUACUGCAGGAAAUACAGCUACCAGCUUCUGCUUCACAGUUCUCCACCAUGCCAGUGCUAUGGCAGUAAUUAAAAUGACAGAUAAACAAUGUUCACAUUUGUUCUCCAAGCCCAGCAAUGGGGAAGCUCUGAACAGUUCAAGUUAGAGCUGCAUGAACGGUGCUGACCCUUGCCUAGACCACUUCAUCUGCCUUGUGGGAGGGUGAUGUAGUUGAUUAUUAUUGCAAUUUGGAACAUGGGGUUUGUUUAAAGCAGGAUUAGUGAGGAAAAAAAACACCAUGUACUUCUCCAAGCAUACUCCUGCUCCUGCAACGACAAGAGAAAUUAGCUUCUUUUCAAUGGGAAUCCUGCUGCUUAUUUAAUAGCAGGUGGGAUUAAACCCUGCAAUAGGUCAAAGUGGGAGGAUCUGGAGUGUCAUUGAGGACAUAUCUAAGCAUUUACUGGUGUGGUGUCCAGGUUCUCUAUGCACCACCACAGUGUUUUGUUUUUGAGAGCGUGGGGAGGAUUAGAUAGCACGUGCAGCCUGGUUUCUUCAGUAUCAACAAGAAGCAACUCAUCUCAUCCUGUCAGGGGGAGAGCAGUUGGUGUAAUUUAUCCAGCAGAACAGCUGAUUUUGUGAAAUGUAUCUGAGAAUUAGUCAAACAGACCAAGAAGCGCGUGGAGACUGGCAGUUGCACUUCAAAAUGAGGAAAUGAGCUUCUUGAUCUUGUCCGGAUGGAGGGCAAUUUGGAAGGACACUGCAAGCAGAGCAGUUGGGCCCUGAAAGCCUUUUUUCAACAGAGCAGCAGGAUAUCCAGCAAUCAGCAGUACGAAGUCUCAUUCCAGGAAAUGGCUGAGGCACUUCGCUGAAACUCUGCAAAAUAAUUAAAUAAAAGAUUCAGCCAAAGAGAGACACCUGGUUUGGAAAACUUCCCCCUUCACGCAUCUGACAACAUGAUAAACAGAUGAAAAGCAGGAUUUUUUUGAACAGAAGAAGAAAGUAAUGCCGAUUGUACUAGUAGCUCCAUCUGCAUUUUUUUUGUUAUUUUGCUUUAAUUUAUACUACAUCCCUGCAGGCUGUUUUUGGAGCUCAUCCCUUUGUUCUGCAAGGCACUCAUCAUGUACACAGCAACAGGAGGGGGCUUAGUUUCUUGCUGCUGUUCAUGGAAGGAGGACUUCCCACCCCAAGAAAGAGAAGACCAGGUGAAACUUGAGAAGGCUGCGAUGACACUGGAGGCACAGCUUCAGGGCUUUUAGCACUGUGCGUCACACUUGCCUGACCCAUGACCAACCUGCAAUGUUGUGCCUGACGUAUGGAAAGAGCUCUGCUUCUCUGGAGAGCGUCACAGAGGCUGCAGGGGUCUGGAGCUGGCAACCCCCUGGGGCAGGCGACAGCACCCUGUGACACCUGGUGCGUCAUCUGCAGCUGAGCUCCCAGAAAGGUCAGGCAGGAGACUGAUAAAUGACCCCGCCUUGUCAACACUGCUGUCAUUAGUGCUGUUAUCACCCUGCAAAUGGGAACAUGAAGGAAUUUGUAUCCCUGCCCUUGCCAAAGCUGGAGAGCAAGUGGGAACAGGAGCUGUGGAGGUGACUGUUCACACCACUUACAUUCUCCUGCAAAGCAGCACAAUGUUUGGUUUGUAACCAAAGGGAUUUUGUAGCUGAUCAUUAAACAUCAUUUCAGAUUGAUGGAACGUAGAGGUUCUCUGAUGAUGACAAGGUUUGUUUCAAAGGGACAAAACACUUCAGCAUGCACUGGCAUGGCUAGAAAGCCCAGAUAUGCUAACUAACAAAUCGCUGGCCUGGUGGAAAGCCCAGAUAUGCUCUCAUAUCCCUUUUCUAAUGUAGGUGGACAAACACAUAUCCAAAAGUGGCAGGUAAUGUAGCCUGCACUGGAAAUGGGCCCACCUGGCCACGUUGAUUUUGACAAGUAAUUUGACAGCACUGUUAGUGCUGUUAGUGGCAGGAGCAGUGUGAUUUACUCAAAAGUUGAGUACUCUGGAAAAAAAAAAGAACCACAACUAAAUUUGCAUGUAAUGAGGUGCAUUUUAAAAUCAAAACAAUUAACAGCUAUGUUAUUUUUUCUUCCUUUGCUUUUGCUUGGUGCACAGUCAGUCCUGUUGCUUAAGAUUCCUGUUGAAUCCCUUUUGGUGGGAAUCUGAUGUGAAGCAGGGAGCCUGGCAGCCCCUCCAAGUACUUCCAUGUACAACAACACUGUACAGCAGUGUUGGUGGAGUUUUGUCAGCACAUGGGAGACAUAAGGGGCUGGCCAAUCUGGCCCAUCAAGUCCUGGUUUGCAAACUCUGCUCAACUAAGGGAUACCAACAGUUGGAUCCAUAGGUCCUGACUGGUCUGUUUGUGAAAAUUAUCUAAAGUGACAAGCAAGGUCACUCACAACUGACUCAUAUAAGGUGACUGGCUCAUUCUUGUAUGGGGUGUGCUGGGUGUUACAGCUAUUUGUGACCUCAGACUGAGCACUGUGGCCUUUUGGUUCAGAAACAUAUUGUUCAAUGAGACGUUCUGUGAAUUUGGUAACCUCAGUAUUCUAUGAGAAGUGUUUGAUUUUACAGGAGAAAGCCUAAGGACAUUUGAAAUGUCUUGUUUCUGCAAAUCUGAGCCAAUUUCUUCUCAUCAGGUAACACCUGGUGCUUUUGUCAGUGCUGAGCAGCACUUUACAUUCUAUACUCUAAAAUCUUUGGAUCAGUUAUGCAUGGAUGCAAGAAAAUAAAACCCCAUUGUAUAUCUUUGCUCACUAUCUGUCCUCUGUCCCCGUCAUUCUAACACACACAUUUCAAAAGAAGACAGUGCUCUGCUUUCCAGUCAAAAUAUUAAAGAAUGCUUCUAUCUGUCUAGAAUACUUUAUUUAUAAAUAUGAGAAUGUUAGGUAAUGUGAGAUAUGCUACAGACUGCAGCUUGCGUAAUACAAAGGAGCAACCUCAGCAGAGCAGUCCAGAUGUGCACUGGCUAAAAAUCUGGCCUAUAAAAUGGUGGUUAAUAAACACAGAAUAAUUUAUCAGGUAUUCGGCUAGGAGCACCAGGCUGCUAACAGCUGUGAAGUGAAACUGGUUGUUCUCAACUCAAUACAUACGUGUACUUUCCUGUACAUUCACACAGAGAGCUGGAUAGUGGCUCUAUAGGUGGCCAAAACACAAGCUUUCUCCAACAAAGGGGAAUAAUCUGUGAUGGAAUUAUCUCUGGUAUUGGUAUUCCGGCUUCCCUCCAACACUGUUUUAGAUUUGAAAGCAUAAUGCAGACUGGUCUUGAGAAAAGACUAUUUUUGCAACAGAACAACACAUGAAAAUCUAAAUUGUGCUGGAAAUUUGGGAGCAAAAUGCAUUUAAUCAGGACAUAUAGCCUGGGAAAUGCUCUCUGUUGUAUUUCACAGCAAUGAAAGCUUUUCUUGAUUUAAUUUGUGUGUAGUGGAGCUUCACCAGAAAGAUUACAGGAAGUAUUGAGGCAGAUUUGCAGCUGAGACAUAGGUGUAGAGGGAUUUUCAACCAGGAUAUCACUAACAAAAAUGUUUUGGCUAAAAUUAUUUUCUCUUACUGUGACUUCUAUCAGGGAAGACAGCAGUGCAGCACUGUCAGGGCACCCAACAGCACAGAAUGCCACCACAAAGGAAAACAGUAUUUACACUGGAAGGGAAAAAUGAUUUAAUGACCUGGUUUAAAACAGAAAACAAGUUGUCACGUUCUGUUCUUUGAAAGUAAAAAUGAUAAGAGCUUUGAUGAGUGGACACCAUAAUAAGGGCCUUGGUUUUAUGUCUCGUCCAGGUGCAGCUCAUCACCCUAUACAGCCAACCAUCCAUCUCAAUACAGUGCAGUCCUUUUUUCAUCCUGGAUCACAGGAAGGGAUGUUGCCAAGCAGGGAUCUUGGUCCCUCUGAUGCAUGCUGUUAUUACUCCUGGACAAUAUUUUCUUCCUCUCUUUUUCUGUUUCUUUCCUGCUUUUACGUUCAUCAAUCCCUUUUUUACAUCUAGCUCAAACUGUCUUCCCAGUGAUGCUGUAGGUGGGACGCAACGCUCAUGAGGCAAAAGGAACUCUGGGUCCCCCACAGGACAGGACCAGAAAGGCAGAGGGGCAGUGUUCCUACUCUCUGGUGCCACUGCUCAGGGAUGUCCCUGGUUUCUGCACUUGUAUCUAAAUCCACACUGGAGGCUCCAAGUCCGAGCCCAGUCACUUCUCAUGGGGUUGAAAUCAUUGAAGUGCACAUUUCAGUAUUGUUGGGAUUUGGGAACAAUUACCCAUCUGUUGUUAAAUCUAAUAGCAAUUCUGUUUCACAGUCUGUUGUAAUUUACACUCUGUUUAUUAUCACAACUGAAUAAAUGACUCUGGCAGGUCUUUGAACUCCCAGCCCUUUGUUGCCUCUUCCCAGGUGAGAGGCAGUUACCUGCCAUAUAAUUGUUCUUAAAGUGUCUAAGAGCAAAGUCACACAAACUUAAAUUGCUGCUGAAGGUUUGCUUGUCUGACUUUGUCCACAAAGGGGUGUGUGUGUUUGUACAGCAAGUCAUGCCUGUCAGCUGGGAGGAAGUAAACACCUGCUGGGAAACAAUUGGAGCAGAUUUUAAGCUUCUUUUCUACUGCUCUCACCAUGUGGCUGCUCCAGAUCCAUGUUGGUGCAAGGUCAGCAAGGCUGGAUUUGAUCAGCGCCGUCUGCUGCUCUUUGCAUGGAGAAUAAGGGACAUCAGAGGGACCACUGCCCUCUCCCUGCUGCAGCAUGAUGCUGGGUGGUGGGACAAAGCAAGGUUUCUGGCCCAGCACUGCUCUUCUCCCUGAUGCUGCAUUUCACAACAUGAAUGUACUCUUCCUAUCUUCUGCUUCAAGAUGAGAAACCCUGUCCAGGUUUGAAGUACUCCUCCUGAUCCUUCAGCGGGGAAAUGAACUUCCCUUAGGAGUGCAGGUAGCAUCAGUGGAUCACCCAGCAGAUGUGCUCACAUGCAGAGGCUAAAUCCCAACAUGAAAAUUGAGCUUGUAUUUUAAAUAUUCAUCCAGGGUUCUAAAGAAAAUGGAAAUAGAGUUAGCCUUUGAUUCAGUUGUAAGGCUGAGCUUCUUGAAAGUUAUUUCAAGGAUUUCCUCUUACACAGUUACAGUAAAUACCUGCUUUCAAUAUUCACGGUCUGUUUUUGCUGCUGUGUGCAAUGUUUCUUAUCUUCUUUUGUCUUUUCCUGUCAGGAGACUUCAAGCACCUAAUUCUGUUCUGACUUUGAUUUCUCAAAUAGAAGUAUGCAUCUCAGCCAUGUCUGAGGAGCAAUAUACCACCUCACCUGUCAACAGCAAGAAAUCACUGUAAUUACAAGAAAGUACCACUUUAUACCACUUACUUUACUACAACUUAGGGAUAAACUUGAAGUUCUCAGAUAAGUUUAAGCUUACCUUUGUUCAUACCUUUGUCACGGGAAGCCAAGAUCUGAAGUCCACCGAGGCCAAUUAGGUGGUUAUUGACUUGGAGCACUUUGAAACAUCUCCACAAAAAGCACCAUUAGCCCAAGUGACCCAAGCACCCCUCCUGUCUGCAUGUGUUCAAUGAUCUGUCAGCAUUGCUCUGAAGAUGUGAGUUUAACUUUGCUCAUUUUCUCCUAGGUGAAGAAGAGAUAAUGCUGUAUUUGUUUUUAGAUGUAGUAUACCUGCAUUAUUACAAAAUACCUCUCUCAUUUCACACAGUUGUGAAGUAAAGGAAAUGGAGCACUGCCAAACACUCCGAAGUUUUUUGCCCCUUAUUGGUAAAAUGAGAGAAGAAAUAAUCCAUUUUAUGUUUUACCAUGUUUGCUUAUGAUCUGAUUUAGUGCUCCUCCUUCAUGGCUGAUUAUUUUAAAAUAAAUCUAGUUCUAGUUCUAAAAACAUAUGAAUAAAACAUAUCCAUGUAUAGCAUGUAUGCCAGGUGUGUGCAGAUAUCCACACAAUUGAACACUUUGGAUUUUAAUUAACUAUGGGAAUGGAUAUGCCGAUUACAUGAAAAAGCAAUGAAAUGUUAAUCAGAUAAAGCAAGACAGCAGGUGGCCAAGAUAUCAGUAGGCACAUAUCUUAUAUGUGUACAUCUCUCUGCAAACAGGAAGGUCACUUUCAUGACAUCACUAGAUGUACUAUGCCACCAAAACAGCCAAAGUCACCAAAAUGUCACCAUGCAAUGCUCUUUUAGCAAGAGUAUUUGCAUUUACUACUUGUCCUGCUUUUCCUUCUGGAAACAUACUUUCCAGUCAUGUUGGUGAAGCUUUUUUCUGCUUCAUGUGGGCAACAGUGAAGUCCUGUAGGUCAAAAAAAAUGACCAACCCCCACAGCAGAAUUUAAGCUCCUUCUCACCCCAUUAUAACAUGUUAAAGAAAUCUUGCAGCUUUCAUUUCUCUGUUUUCCUUUGGGGAAUCAGGAACAUUAAGAGACACUGUUGUAUCCUCUCCUGGACCUUCGGGGCUUGCUUGCUGCUUAAUUCUGCUUCCAAAAGCUGUCUGUGGUUACGGAAACAAAUGUGCAAUCUGCACAUGGCAAAGUCAAAUAAAAAUGUGGCGUUUCUUACUUCAGAAGUGGAUAUUGCCUUGACUACUUACUUACUGUAAGUGUUUGGAUGAUGGUACAAGCACAGUGCCUUCAUCAGCAUCUUCUGAGAUCCAAGCCCUGGCUCUGCAGGGAGGCCAGGCCUCUUUGUCACGAUGCACCUCUUGGUGCCCUCUCAGCCCCUGGGUGUUGACCUUCACACAAACUGAAAUAUCUUCUCAGUGAUGUUUUGGAUUUCAGGGCCUUUCCUGUGUGGUAUUUUGCUGAAGAGUGGAGUCUGGAGAGAGACAGGCUUUGUUCUUCUCCUGCAAGCUGAGCUCUCCUCCCAUUUCCCCUCACAGAUCCCUUUGCAGGAUAUGUUUUUAUUGCACCCUCGCUCUCUUCGGUUCAUGCAGAGUUGUUCAUUUCCUGACUGUACGUGACCAGAUGCGUGGCUGUUGUUAGUGGUGUAAAUCCUCAGCCUUCAGCUGAACCAAAAAUCAGCUUGUGGUGUUUGAUGUGCUGUGCUAAUGGGACAGGACUGUUUUGAGACUUCUGAUUUGCACGAAGCCAAACACUUCAUCUGUGCCUCUAGGAAAUAACAAUAAUUCAUUAACAUCACGACCCCAUGUUUCUUUUUAAACACAGAUGUUAUUUGAUGCGGAGCUCAAGGUUGGUUCUAGAAAUAUAUUUUUUGUUCUUUUCCUUUACAAGAUUAUGUGUCUCCUUGAGUCUUUUUUCUAUUCAAGCAGCAAAGGUGGUUCUGAUAUCAGCUACAGGGGUGAGGCGUAAUGUGGAUGGCUGUGAAAUCCCCCUUGACAGCUACAGCCAAAGUGAAAAUAGCUUACAAACAACAGACAGAAAUAUUUCCUCACAUAUAGACUGCUUCUGUUUUGUAAUUGUCACUGAUAAACCCAAACACUUCAAACAGAUACAGGGCUCUUGAGUGACAGAAAUUCUUCCCUAGAAUCUUUCAAAAUUCACACUAUAAAAGCCAGGUCCCCUGGAGAAUACAACCAGGAGAGCAAUCAGAAACAGAGUUGCACUACCAAAGGUCAACAAAAUCCAAAAUAACAGCCUUUGGAGGCAGACUGUUCCCCAGUUGGCUGGGGAAUGGUGAGGUGUUUGUGUGAAAGAGAGAAUGGGGGAAAAUACCAUUGUCAAAGGAGAAGAGCUCUAAAGAAACAUGGCAGGGAUUUUGUUCCCAUUAGUCCUAGUUCCUGUGAUGUAUGACAAGAGUGGGUAUAGAAAACAGAAGGAAACACGCUGAUAAUAAGGGUAUUUUUCUAGAACUGUUAGAAAUAGUUAAUGUGUCUUGUUUUUUGUGGUCUCACAUCCUAUUGAGGGGAAUUGAGGAUGACAUCCAAGAGGUGGUAAUCUCUGAAAGUGAAUCCCGGUCAUGAGAGGAACAGCCAGGUAGAGGAGGUAUCUCAGUCACUGCAGGAACCUGGACAAAAAAAAUUAGUUUAGAUGCCUAACUUGCAAGCAGCUGCAGUUCACUGAGAUGAAUGUUAGUCUUCCUUACAGCCAAAGGCUGAUACUUCAGCCUACGGAAUUUUGCACAGGGAGCCCCAGCUCCCUCUGAAUUAAGUGAGACCAUGCACUACAAAGCCAAGAUGUCAGUGUUCUCAUUAAGAUUUGGCUAAAAGUGCUGGUACGUAACUGCAUCUAUUUUAGCACAAAGCUUUAGAUGUUUUUAUCCUGCUUGAGCAAUCCCUACAGAAUCAGCUUUUCUGGAACAUGAAACCCUAUUGGACUGUGUAAACAAGCUACAUUCAGCUGAAUGCAAAGCCUCACUACACUUUCAAUUUCUGUAAAUUAUGCAAAGAUAUAAAUGAUGAGUAAAUCAGUGAGCUAGAUCAGAGGCUGAUUCAUUCAUGUAUUGAUUCAUGCAUGGUUUAUCUUCAUGCCUUGCAGAAAAAAACAAUUAAAAUGGUUACACUGAGCUAUAAAACUUGAAAAUGGUGUUGAAGGGGGAAGUGUGAUCUUCUGCUUGAAGACUGGCAGAGGAAACCAUAGGUUGUGUAUUAACCAUCUUCUAAUUUGCAUUCCUUUAAAUGUUUAUCAGCUGUGUGUAACCAAACUGGGAAAAAUAAUUAGCUUGAAAUCUAGUGGAAAUUCACUUCAUAUUUUAAUACUUCUAUGUCAUGUGUUUGUUCAAUACCCUUUCUUAUCCUGGCCUCAAAAAUUAAAAAAAAAGAAAAAGAUAUUUAUGUUUUGAAAUCUUUGUGACAGCAGAAAUAAUAAUAGUAAGAAUUAAUUGUGAUUUGGGAGUGUGGUCAAGCAUAUUUGGUAUGAAUUUGCAUUAGAGGUUGUAGAUAAACAAGUGGGAAAACCAGGGAAAUAAGACAUUCAGUUUUCCAAAAAGGACAAAGAAAAUAAAUCUUCAGCCAAUCAGGAUGUAGGAAUGACACAAUUUUCUUCACUGUGUGGGUGAGUAAACCAUAAUUCUGCUCUCUCAUCAUCUGUGAUGAUAAAAUGUUGUAGUUAUAGAAAGGGUAAUUAUUGUUAUUUUAUCUUAAGAAGCUUUCAAGAAACAAAAUAUAUCACAUCAACAUACUUUAUAUAUAGGCAGUUUCUGGGAUCACAUACUGUUUAUCUGUAAGCUUAAACAUAAAUAAAGUUCAUUUACACAAAAGCAAACCAUGUAAUGAAUCUGCUCUUGAUUCUUUCAGCUUCUAUUUUCAUUAGCUAACGCAGACUCUGAGUAAACCGUAUGUUGUUUGUCAUUAAGCAUGCUUUAGUCAUCUGCCAUUUUUGCAUUUUUUUGAUUGGCUGCUGCUAAGGGAAGGGAAAGCUCUGUAGUGGUUGUACAUAAGACAAAUAACUCCGACACUGUGCUGUGGAAAGUUAUGCUUUCAUAUAGUUUCAUCUUCACCACCCCCAUGUUAUUAACUUCUUCUCUUUAGCAGAAUAGUUUUAAGCACAGCAUUAGCAACACUUACUUUUAUGUACAGAGUUUUGAAUUCAUAGGUUGGCUGUCAGCAUAACUCUCUACACCUGGGGUGGUUAUAACCCAGUAUGUCAAGGUAUAGAAGUUGUUCAAAUUGCAUGUAACAGAUUUCAAAAAAUUUGACUGCCAAAACUGAUUCAAACAGAAAAUUUUAUUUUCAAAGGCAGAAGACAGGUAAAGCCAGGUUUAAAAUACUAAUGCUUUCCCCACCUGUCCUUUCUUGUUUGUUUGUUUUAUCUGAUUACAGAUGAGAACACAAGGCUAAACUUGAUUCAGAAUUGCACAGGGAACUCUGACUCCUUUCAGCCCUCAGCAGCAAGGCAGACUCACAAAUGCCAUCCCUUGUUGAUGUUUGAAAUGGAAGCCUCUCAUGCCAGCUGAAGUAUGAGAAAUCUUUUUAAAAAGCCCUAAGGAGCUUUUCAAAAUGCUGCCUAUCCACGCUCCAUGCCUGUACAAAUUUUUGAUGGACAAGGAACGCAUAAUGUCUUUUCACCUAACUUAGCAAACAUUGUAUAAACAGUCUAUAUGCCAACAGUUGGUUCUGUUUUAUCACUCUUAGGAAAAGUAAAAAUGACACAGUGGCAUCACUUCCUCCCUCUGCAGCAUGGCUUCCAGUAGUACGUGCUCUGCAAACACACUUGAAAACCAUCACUUUGCCUUUUAAUGAUAUAAUGCAAAAUAUAUACCUGCCAAAAUACUAGAUAAGGUCAAGUAAGAAUAUUCCCCUUCCACACUUAACCUUUUUUCCUCAAUUUUCAGAGGAAAAUAUUCUGCAGUGAGCAGUUGUGCAAAUUUCCCAUAUAAGAGAAAGAAAAUAAAAUGCCUAAAAAGCAGAAAAUUGAAGCGCUAAAACUUUGAUCCUGGAUUUGAAGCUAAUCUAUGCAAUUAGCAGUGCUUUUGGUCACAAAAGGAAGAGUCACAGGAAGAAAGGAUAGCAUAGAGCACAAAGAAGAAAUCGGGAAAAACAGAAAAUGAUGCUUCAAUCAUCUUCACAGCCACACAAAUUUUUCCUAAAGAGUAAACAAAGAUGAAAAAAUAUGAGGGAAAGAAGAACAGCAGCAAGCAAACUGCAAACAAUUCUGAACAAUUUCCUCCAGGUUAUCUCACUGUAGGCAAAAUUUAACACUAUCACAUCAGGGAAGCAAUGUUCAAAGGAUGGGUUCUCAGUGUGCAAGAGCCAUUAUUUGGUUUCCAGCUGUAUACUUUGUUUAUUAACUUCUUCCUGUCUUGACAGGUUGCUUACAGCUCCAGGAGAGUAUUCAAUGGCUAUUUGUUAAUGGUUAUGGUUCCCAUAACCUUGAAGAACUUCUUAGACCUGGCAGACUUAGUGCAUGGAUUAAUUGCUGUUAGAUAAGGAGGUGGUUUAAUGCAUCUUCUCUGAUGGAGCAGACACAUUCACAUGAAGUGAAGCACCUGUGCGAUUAUCCAUAGGUACCAGUAAUCUUUCCAAGAGCCUUGCAAGAAUCGCCUUUAAGAAACCAUUGGGCAGUCUUGAAACCUUUGCCAGUCCUGCCUUACAGCCACUGGCUUCUUAGUGCAUGGUGGAUAGGUAAAGUCUCAGGGUCCUGGGCUCAGACACACACUUUGCAACAGCUUUGUUCUACGUGUCAUGUAAGGGUAUUACAGACUGUUACCAGCUUGAACUCAUUGUGCAAAGCAGAGAUCUCCAUUGUCACACUUUUUUCCUCUCUUAAUAAAAGAUGAAACACCUACAUGGAUAUUUUUAAAAAAUAUUUGGAAGAGCACAGCUGAUAUGUAUUGAUGAUGGCUCACAGAGAGCUCGGAUUCUCAGUGAGAAGAUGUCUGUGACAUUUUUUUGGUGAACACUUAGUUGGAGACUUUUAUCCCCAAACUGAAAGGAUGCUUAAACUGGAGCUGAAAACUAUCCCAACUUGUGAGACUGCCAGCUGUGACUACCUAAAUGGGGUAGAAAUUAAAGAAGGGCUAUUUAUUUAUUUGUUUAGACUGAAUUUUAUGAAUGAUUUCUGAUUUUCCUAUCCACAUAGUCUUUUAGCAAGGAUGCAUUCUCUAAGUUUUCUUAAAAGUUUUAUUGAAAUGUAUACAAAGUGAAAACAUGGAUGUCUUAUUUAAAAGUAUAUGCAAAUGGAGCGGACAGCUGUGUACCUGUCUUGUUUAGCAUAAAAUGGCCAUUAUAACUUUCUCUUUUAUGACUUUUACAGGUUAAAAAAAAAGGCCUUUUCUUUAGAAUCAUAGAAUGGCCUGGAUUGAAAAGGACCGCAAAGAUCAUCUUGUUUCAACCCCCUGAUAUGUGCAGGGUUGCUAACCACCAGACCAGGCUGUCUAGAGCCAGGUCCUUGAGCACAACAUUCUUGGGCAACCUGUUCCAGUGUGUCACCACCCUCUGUGUGAAAAACUUCUUCCUAAUAUCUAAUCUAAAACUCCCCUGUCUCAGUUGAGUCUUAACUUGAUUACUAAAAAUAUAUUGGUUUAAAUGAAAGAUAUUGUUGUUUGAAUCUGUGCAAUGAUGAAUAAAUGUCUACAAUAAA